GCGUGGUUAAUCUCAAAAUCCAAAAUGGAGGACGAGUAGUCAAAUAAUAAAAAAAAUACAGCGUUUUGUUAAAUAUUUAAUUUGAUCAUGUGGCCCGAACUUCUCGACAUGACUCGGGAGGAGUGUAAGAGAGUGCUUCGCAGAGUGGAGCUGGAGGCCUAUUCGUCUGUUGUGUCGGCUUUCCGUGCUCAGGGGGACCUCAAUAAAGAGAAGAAGAAGAUGCUAUAUGAUCUGCAACACUUUUUAAGUAUUUCAACUGAAAGACAUAGAGCUGAAGUAAGGAGGGCAGUCAAUGAUGAGAAGCUGGCAACAAUUGCUGAUAAUAUGUCCCCUUCCAACAGUACACAGGAGUGGUUGAUUGAAGGUCGCAGGCUUGUCCCUUUGAUGCCAAGGCUUGUUCCACAGACUGCGUUCACUGUUACAGCUAACCAGGUUGCUAAUAUCCAGGCAGAGAAGAACGCGUCCCUUCCCAGCCCUUCAAAUACUGGCUUAAGGGAAAACAUACCGCUAUCCAGUGGUAUGUCCUCCCCACCCCCCACACCAGUCUGGACCUCAAGACCUAGCAGCCCUACCUCCAAUGUGGUGGUUCUGCCCAGCGGCAUGUCCAUUCACAUCAAAGGUGGCCUGAACACAGAGGAAGACGAAGACAUCCAGUCCCGCAAGCGUCACCACAGUACUUCAUCAGAGACCAUGUUCUCCCCUCCCCACCCCCCGCCCCAGGUGACAUACACCACCACGAUGGCCAGCACCCCCACGAGUGUGUCCCCCAAGAAGAUCACCAUCACCAAGAGCCCCCAGGCUCAGCCCAGGGUGGUGGCUAGUGGCAGUCAGACACAGAAGGUGAUACUGGUCUCCAGUCAGGGCCACUCCACCCAGGUGACCACCCCGCAGAAGCCUCUGUCCAUGCCUGUCAUGCGCUCCACGGUUUCCACUGGAACCUCCACCACCACCCUGCCCUCCAAGUCUGUGCUCCUGCCAGGGACCAACCAGCAGUUUGUGGGAACCAGCACAGGAAGCCUUGUUUCCAUGACGACCACAUACCUGCCUGUCACCACGAAUGCUAGUCUUGCCUCCACCAUGCUAUCUACAGCAGCUGCUGUGGGCACCUCCACCACCGCCUUCCUGACGCCUACCAUCAGCACAGCCAAGCCUCGCUUCAAAACUGUGCCAAGACAGAAAAUUUUACAGGUGCCCUCGAGCCGUCCCGGAGUGGUGAUCCCCAUGAGUCCUCAGCCAGUGCAGCCCUCCCCCCAGACAGUGCAGGCGCUAAAACCCGGCGCCAAACCCACUAUCCAGAUCAGACAGGAGGGAGGUAUGAAGAUCAUCACCCAGAGUGUGUCCGGCAACACCAGCAAGAUCCUUCCCAAGCCUAGCCAGCUGGUCAACGCCAGUGGGACACCUGUGGUAGUGGUCAGUGCUGGGUCAGUGACCAACACCUCCCAUCCCACCUCCGUCACCAUGGUGAGCCGCACCGGUCAGUCUCUGCCAGGUACAGUGACAGGCACAAAGUUGUUGAACAUCCAGACCCAGGGCGGGAAGAUCAUCACGGCCCCCCGGGGAUCCAGUGUAGUCACCGUGAACCCCAAAACUCUGCAUCUUACUGCCGUCAAGAACACAUCAGGAAUACCAGGUUCCAAGCCGAAUGUGAUAGUGGUACAGAAAACUCAGCAGAGACGAUUGGCAGGCACUCAAGUGGCUAUUGGGGGUAAAGCCAAUACUGCUGUCAUCUCCAGUCCCUUUGAAAAGGAACUUGUGAGCUUUUUGCAAAAGCAGGAUCCAACCAAACAGUAUGUCGUAACGACGACCACUGCCAACCUGUCCAGGUCACAGGACGCCCAGAGGAAGGUCAUUGUCACCACACCUGGGCACGGUGAUCUGGCUAAACAGAUUAGCGCUAGUAUCCAGAAGGCCAAGUCACAGGAAGUAAGUGUAGCCUCGUCCACCAUCCUUCACGACCUUAUCACCGCGGCAGGCAUCAUGCCUGACGGAGUGGGAGAUGGCCAGUCAGGGGAGGUCACUGUGAACCUCGACGAGUCACAGCUCGCCGCUCUGACAUCUGCCGCCCAGGAAAGUAGUCAGACUAAAGUUAACCCCUCAAUGCCCAGCAACGAAUGGUUCGAGUAUGAUGUCACAGAUGAGUCAGGCAACACGUUCACACACACCGCAGAGUCUGCAGAUACCGCGGCGGCCAUUCAGUCCCUCCUAGACAUGCAGCAGGCAAACGGCGCGGCUGGCACCAGUAGUGUCAUGAGGCCAAAGGUCACGGUUCAGAGAUCGUCAAAUGUGGACAUCAGUCAACUGACUGACCACUUGAAUCAGCACCAGCAGCAGUUCUAUCCACUGGAACAGGCCAUUACCAUGCUAAAUCAGAGUGAAUCUGAAUCUGAAAAUACUGCGUCCUCUGGAAUAUUCCAGUCCGAUAAUAGUCAGACUAUUACGAGCAUGGUGGAAAAUUUUGAUGAUGACGCUAACAUUCUUACUGCUGUUCCCAUCAGCUUGACCUCUGAGGGUCAAAUAGAGCACAUGACCUUGAACACUUCCAGCAUGACCUCUAUUGCCGGUGGCGGUGACCUUAACCACGACCUUGACCCCCAGACUGGAAUGUUCUAUUUGGAGAAAGGGGGGUCGAUAAGCGGGAUCAAGAUCAACACGAGUGACGGCCAGCAGGUGAUUGUGAGUGGGGUGGAUGAAGACGGCAGGGUGAAAUAUGACCUGCUGAGUAGCUCCCUGGCGCAGGCUCAGAUUGACCUUGACCCCUAUCAGUUCAUUGAGAAUGGCGGGCAACAUGUGAAGGUCGUUGAGAAAUCUGUUUCAGGUGACUCUCUGCAAUCCAGCGCCUCCAGCUCAGGGUCCCUGUCUGGGGAAACCCUGCUUAUGCAGAAGGUCUCAGCCCCCAUCACCAUAACAACUCCCACCAUCCGUAUCCAGGGUAACUCAUUUGUUCCCAUCCAGGAGGUCAUGAGGUCAGCAGCAGUGGCCGGCUCUUCCAGUGGAAAAAUGGUGUUCAGCACAGCGGACGCGGGCAGCUCCAACCAGUCCAUCCAUGUGACUGUAGAGCCGAGUGAGCUGGACACCUCGUACAUGCAGAUGGAGGACUUCACCAGCCAGCAGCUAGGCGAUGUCACAGACGUGGGCAUAGGUCACAUGGAAGAAAUAGCCUGCGAGGAGACAGUCACUGUUGGUAACUCGGACUCCAGUGAGGGUGGAGGUAUGGAGGGCUAUGUGAGCGGGCUGGACAUGGGCUCUGGUGGGUCACAGCCUGCGCGCAGGAAGAGGAAGGUUCUCUCGGGCGAGGACCUCACUAGCUCUCCACCCCCGGGCAGUGGGGCGCCUGGCAGCUGGUCUCGAGCAGCCCUCGGGGUGUUAAACAAGGUGUGCAAGUAUCGUGGAGUGAACAGGGACAAGAACGAUCUCAAUGCGGCCACUUGGUUCACUCAGCCAGUGGACCCUGCAGAUGCCCCGGACUACUACACAAUAGUGCAGAAUCCUAUGGACUUUGGGACGAUCAAGAGGAAACUAGAGACGGGGAAGUACGUUGACUUUGACGACUUCCAUGCUGACAUGUUGCUGGUGAAGGAAAACUGUUACCUGUACAACCCUGAGCUGAGUCAGGUGCGGCGAGACUGUGACGAGGUGUUCACAUUUUACACAGCAGAGUACCAGCGCCUCAUGGACAAGUGGCAGAAGGUAAGGCAGGCUCUGUGACGAGGUGUUCACAUUCAACACAGCAGAGUACCAACGCCUCAUGGACAAGUGGCAGAAGGUAAGGCAGGCUCUGUGACGAGGUGUUCACAUUCUACACAGCAGAGUACCAACGCCUCAUGGACAAGUGGCAGAAGGUAAGGCAGGCUCUGUGACGGGGUGUUCACAUUCUACACAGCAGAGUACCAACGCCUCAUGGACAAGUGGCAGAAGACUCACAUUGGUUCGCCUUUGUCUAAAAAGCAGCGCACUGACCGAAGUCCGGUACACUCUUGACCAUGGACCCAGAAUACAUAGCUUAUUUUAGCACAUCGACUCAGAAUUCAUAGCUUCAUUUAGCACUGGCAUGGAUUAAGAUCUGUGCCGUUUUAUCAUCCCUCUCGAUAUUGUUUGCGCAAACUGAGAUCUUUAGGCCCACUUGUCAGGCAGGAAUAAACUGUGAAGUUGCAGUUGUGAUUGUUAAUACCUAAUUGAUAAAAUAGUUGUCAGCAAAUUCUUUUUUUUGUUAGGACUUUGUUUCAUUAAGUGCAUUAUUUUUUGGACUAUUUUGUCUUUAAAAAUUAAGUUUUUUUUUCAGGUUUAAGUCUUAUUCAGUAAAUUAUGAUCUGCAUAAAAUAUGUUUUUAUGCAAGACAAUGUUUCUGUGCCCUAAAGCACAGAUAUUCUAAUUAGACAAUACUAUAUUUAUUGCAGUACCCUUAUGUGACUGUUAAUCCCAAAUCAAAUGAAUGAAAUCAAAUUUGUAUAGAUUCCUCUAUCAUUGUUGCUAUAAACAGACGCUUUUUUGGUGUAUAUGUACAAGUUGGUAUUUGUUUAUAGUUAUUUUUUUUUUAAGUUUUUCAAAAUAAUUUCAACCAUGUUAACAAUUUAAUAUAAAUAUAGUUUUAAUACAAUAUUUUUUAUAUGAAUAAUAUAGUAAUUAAAAUUCUUCCAAUUUAUUUGUAUACAGAAGUUAUGAUUUUCACAUGAUAAUAUAACAUUUGCUUACAAAAAACUGAGCUAGUAUAUUUUAUGAAAAUGUGUCAUUUGUAAUAAUGAAACAUUCAAUAAUGCAGAUUUGAAAUCAAAAUUGUUUUUGGGAUACCUGAAACAUGGUAAUUAAAACUUGAUUCACUAACUAGUGUUUUAGGUAAAGCAGAAUUGCAAGGGUUAUUUGCUUUGAAUGCCGCACCUUUUCCAUUUUUUUUUCUCCACAAUUUAAAAGUAUGCCCCACCCUUUUUUACCUUUUUGUCAUUUGUCAAUGUUCUAAAAAAUACAGUCUCACCUAGAGUGCUUUUACUGGCUAUUUCCAAUUUUAGAGAUUUACCUGCAGCAUUACUUGACAUAUGCAUCAAAUUAUUUUUAAUGAAGAAGAAAUCUAUUGGAAUAUGUGCUAAAGGGAUGAAUGAUUGAACUUAAGUGGAAACUGCACAAUUCUGUUGUUUACAAUGUAUUAAUGUUACCAUCCAAUGAUUUUUCACAAAAGAGUUUUGUCAGUUUCAUGCCAAUGUGUACGAGCUGUUUUCUAUUGUCUCGUUCUGGCAAAACUGGACUUAAUGCAUUUGCAUAAACGUGUCUUCCCAAAUUAGCCUGCGCAGUCUGCAAGGGCUAAUCAGGGACAACACUUUUCGCCAGCGCUCAAUUUUCUUUUGAAAGAGACCUCCUUUAUACAAUUUAUUCCAUAAACGUGGAAAAUGUCUCUGUUUAUCAAUAAGCCCCGUUUUCCCAAAACGAGGCUCCAUUGUCUCGUUGUUGGCGGGUCAGAGCAUUGUUUAGUUCACCUGUUCAAAGAUUCAUCGUGUAUAUUCAUGAAGAUCAUGUAGUUUUUUUAGAACACUAAUAUUAUUAUCAUGUUAGUGCAUAGUUGUUUUACCUAUUCUUAGCUUAUUGAAGUAUAUUGCGGAACAUUAUAAAUGUUGCCACGUACAUUGUGAAUUAAACUCGUUUCGAGGA